UGGGGAAUUUUGGACAAUGGGCGAAAGCCUGAUCCAGCAAUGCCGCGUGUGUGAAGAAGGCCUUCGGGUUGUAAAGCACUUUUGUCCGGAAAGAAAUCCUUGGCUCUAAUACAGUCGGGGGAUGACGGUACCGGAAGAAUAAGCACCGGCUAACUACGUGCCAGCAGCCGCGGUAAUACGUAGGGUGCAAGCGUUAAUCGGAAUUACUGGGCGUAAAGCGUGCGCAGGCGGUUUGCUAAGACCGAUGUGAAAUCCCCGGGCUCAACCUGGGAACUGCAUUGGUGACUGGCAGGCUAGAGUAUGGCAGAGGGGGGUAGAAUUCCACGUGUAGCAGUGAAAUGCGUAGAGAUGUGGAGGAAUACCGAUGGCGAAGGCAGCCCCCUGGGCCAAUACUGACGCUCAUGCACGAAAGCGUGGGGGAGCAAAACAGGAUUAGAUACCCUGGUAGUCCACGCCCUAAAACGAUGUCAACUAGUUGUUGGGGAUUCAUUUCCUUAGUAACGUAGCUAACGCGUGAAGUUGACCGCCUGGGGAGUACGGUCGCAAGAUUAAAACUCAAAUGAAUUGACGGGGUCAUA
rnacentral:rRNA from 1 species